UACGGGGGGGGGUAAGCGUUGUUCGGAAUUACUGGGCGUAAAGGGCUCGUAGGCGGCCAACUAAGUCAGACGUGAAAUCCCUCAGCUUAACUGGGGAACUGCGUCUGAUACUGGAUGGCUUGGAUCCGGGAGAGGGAUGCGGAAUUCCCAGUGUAGAGGUGAAAUUCGUAGAUAUUGGGAAGAACACCGGUGGCGAAGGCGGCUCACUGGCCAGUUUCUGACGCUGUAGCGCGAAAGCGUGGGGAUCAAACAGG
rnacentral:rRNA from 1 species